GAUGAAGAACGUAGCGAAAUGCGAUAAGUAGUGUGAAUUGCAGAAUUCAGUGAAUCAUCGAAUCUUUGAACGCACAUUGCGCCCUUCGGUAUUCCGUUGGGCAUGCCUGUUCGAGCGUCAUUUAAACCUUCAAGCUAUGCUUGGUGUUGGGUGUUUGUUCCGCCUCUGCGCGUGGACUCGCCUCAAAUUCAUUGGCAGCCGGUAUGUUGGCUUCGUGCGCAGCACAUUGCAAGCGACUUCAACAAACCUCCUUCCAUAAGCCUUUUUUUUACUUUGACCUCGGAUCAGGUAGGGAUACCCGCUGAACUUAAGCAUAUCAAUAAGCGGAGGA
rnacentral:misc_RNA from 1 species